rnacentral:rRNA from 1 species
CUCGAGUGCCAGGUUACAAAUCUGGCUGUCGUGAUGCCUAAAAAGCAUUAUAUAGCAAGGGCCGGGCAAGACCGGUGCCAGCCGCCGCGGUAACACCGGCGGCUCGAGUGGUAACCGUUAUUAUUGGGUCUAAAGGGUCUGUAGCCGGCCGGAUAAGUCUCUUGGGAAAUCUGGCAGCUUAACUGUCAGGCUUUCAGGGGAUACUGUCUGGCUCGAGGCCGGGAGAGGUGAUAGGUACUUCAGGGGUAGGGGUGAAAUCUUGUAAUCCUUGAAGGACCACCAGUGGCGAAGGCGUCUCACCAGAACGGACCUGACGGCAAGGGACGAAAGCUAGGGGCACGAACCGGAUUAGAUACCCGGGUAGUCCUAGCCGUAAACGAUACUCGCUAGGUGUCGGCCACGGUGCGACCGUUGUCGGUGCCGUAGGGAAGCCGUGAAGCGAGCCACCUGGGAAGUACGGCCGCAAGGCUGAAACUUAAAGGAAUUG